rnacentral:tRNA from 1 species
GUAAAUAUAGUUUAAAAAAAACAUUAGAUUGUGAAUCUA